GACGAACGCUGGCGGCGUGCUUAACACAUGCAAGUCGAACGGAAAGGCCCUGCUUUUGUGGGGUGCUCGAGUGGCGAACGGGUGAGUAACACGUGAGUAUCCCGCCCUUGACUUUGGGAUAACUUCAGGAAACUGGGGCUAAUACCGGAUAGGAGCUCCUGCUGCAUGGUGGGGGUUGGAAAGUUUCGGCGGUUGGGGAUGGACUCGCGGCUUAUCCGCUAGUUGGUGGGGUAGUGGCUUACCAAGGCUUUGACGGGUAGCCGGCAUGAGAGGGUGACCGGGGACAAGAGGACUGAGGUACGGCCCAGACGGCAACGGGAGGCAGCGGUGGAAAGUAUGGCACAGUAGGCGGGAGCGUGAGGCGGCAGCGCCGCGUGCGGAAAGACGGCUUACGAGUUGUAAACCGCUGUCGCCUGAGACGAAGCGGGAGUGACGGUAAUGGGUAAAGAAGCACCGGCUAACUACGUG
rnacentral:rRNA from 1 species